GCCUCCGUAGCUCAGUGGUUAGAGCACUGGUCUUGUAAACCAGGGGUCGGGAGUUCGACCCUCCCCGGGGGCA
rnacentral:tRNA from 1 species